UGUAGCCUGAUAUUGAAAUUCGGCACAGCUUGUACAGGAUAGGUAGGAGCCUUAGAUACGUGAGCGCUAGCUUACGUGGAGGCGUUGGUGGGAUACUACCCUCGCUGUGUUGGAUUUCUAACCCGCACCACUGAUCGUGGUGGGAGACAGUGUCAGGUGGGCAGUUUGACUGGGGCGGUCGCCUCCCAAAAGGUAACGGAGGCGCUCAAAGGUUCCCUCAGAAUGGUUGGAAAUCAUUCAUAGAGUGUAAAGGUAUAAGG
rnacentral:rRNA from 1 species